rnacentral:rRNA from 1 species
UACGUAGGGAGCGAGCGUUGUCCGGAUUCAUUGGGCGUAAAGAGCUCGUAGGCGGCUUGAUAAGUCGGAUGUGAAACCUCCAGGCUCAACCUGGAGUCGCCAUCCGAUACUGUCAUGGCUAGAGUCCGGUAGGGGCCCACGGAACUCCUGGUGUAGCGGUGAAAUGCGCAGAUAUCGAGAGGAACACCAGAGGUGAAGACGGGUUGCUGGGCUGACACUGACGCUGAUGCGCGAAAGCCAGGGGAGCAAACGGG